GGCGGUUGACAGGGUUCAGGACGCACUACCCCAGAAUAUGGCACCCGGGCAUACUGAACAGUUGAGGCUGCGGGAGUCAAUGACAGAAGUGGAGGGGUCUCUCCGUCCCCUGCUCGCCCUUCUCCCCUGAGGCGGGUCCUAAGACCCUCUUGUGAGUGGGCCCUCCCUCUGCCUGAAGGAAGGAAACACCCUCAUCUGCAAGACACGCAGAGGCUGAGAAGACACAAGCCAACAGGCCUUGCAAAGUUUUCCCAGUUUAUUACAUUUAGCUCGUGCCCCUCUGUCCUGUCCUGUGUUUGCACAACUGUCCACUCCUCACCAAACCUGCCAUUGAAACCACGCCGAACCAGUUCUUCAGGUCUGCGUUUCCUCUUGAAGGCUUCCAUGUCACAGAAAAUAUAUUAAAUAAAUUGUAUGCUCUUUUCCCAGUAAUGUGUCUUUUCUUGUCACCUUAAUUCUAGAUCUACCUGGCCAGGGACCCUAAGAGGGUUAAGGAGAACAUUUUCCUCCCCUACACAGUCUUCCAAAACCUUGGAUAAAAGACCUCCUUUUCCUGCACAGCACAGCGUCAACAUGGACUGGUGACUCGGAGGCUGGUUUCACUGCCGUGUGAGGGUCUCCUGCUCUGCACCGCAAAAAAGCACGGGA